rnacentral:sRNA from 1 species
AACCUUCCACCCCUCACUACGCCUACUA